rnacentral:rRNA from 1 species
UACGAAGGGGGGCUAGCGUUGCUCGGAAUCACUGGGCGUAAAGGGGUGCGUAGGCGGGUCUUUAAGUCAGGGGGUGAAAUCCUAGAGCUCAACUCCAGAACUGCCUUUGAUACUGAGGAUCUUGAGUUCGGGAGAGGUGAGUGGAACUGCGAGUGUAGAGGUGAAAUUCGUAGAUAUUCGCAAGAACACCAGUGGCGAAGGCGGCUCACUGGCCCGAUACUGACGCUGAGGCACGAAAGCGUGGGGAGCAAACAGG